GACGAACCGUGCAAACGUUAUUCGGAAUCACUGGGCUUAAAGGGCGCGUAGGCGGGCUCCCAAGUCGGUGGUGAAAUCUUUCGGCCCAACCGGAAAAGUGCCGCCGAUACUGGGAGUCUCGAGGGAGGUAGGGGUCGAUGGAACUUCCGGUGGAGCGGUGAAAUGCGUAGAUAUCGGAAGGAACGCCGGUGGCGAAAGCGAUCGACUGGACCUCUUCUGACGCUGACGGCGCGAAAGCCAGGGGAGCAAAGCGGGG
rnacentral:rRNA from 1 species